CCUGGAACACGUUCCUCUCUCCAACAACAGCCCCGUUGACAAACUUGGUGUUGUCACGGGUGAUGUUGGCUUGUAGAAAGGCCAUCCGGUCAAUACCGGUACCGCUGAGAGUUGUCGGAGGUCCAUCAGCACUGAUUCCUCCACUAGGUAGUAGUCUCUGACCAUUUGCAGCGAUGUGGCUGCUUUCAUCUCGAGUUGUUAUCUCCUCCAUCACAAGCCCAUAUGUAAACUUGCUCUGACGGGUGAAGUUCUGCAAGAAAGAAUAUGUUUGAUUUACAAUAUUCUGUAGGACAGAACACGAGGACUACGCCACAGAGUAUUGGCAAGCUUACCUCAGUUAUGUUAGCUUUCACUCCAGCUCGAUCAACCCAAAUUGGUGGUACUUCGUCAACACCUGGUCCUCCAGUGAACACAGGGCUAAGUUUGCGGCUGUUGAAGCAGCUCGUUUUGAAUGUACGGUUACGAGGAUUGUAAACACCGUCCAGAUAUGGAUGUACAUAAUCGAGCUUAAACGAAAGAUCAUCCUGCAGGCACGCAGAAGCAGUGAUAGAUAUGGUGUCAAGAAAACAAGCUAAGGUAGAUAUUAGUCAAAUAUGUAAGCAUGCCAAAAUGUACCUGAGGAUUCAAGAAGUUGCUAGUGGUCACUGACCCCAUGAGAGACCUGUUAAGACCCUGGAUGUUUCGAUGUUCGAAAGUAACAGACCCACCUGGCUGGAAUGAAGCCUGAUGCAUAUAAGCAAGAACAAAGUAAAAUCAAUUACAAUUUUUUAUUAAAACCAAUCAAAUCUGUACUUAUUCCAGUAAGGAAGGAUUCAUACCAGAGUGGGAGUGCCUCCAGGUCCAGGAACUAUACUCCAUUCAGUACUGACUUCAGCUGACUUCUGUUCGAGCUCUUUCAGUUUGAUCUCAACGAUAAUGCCCCCUUCGUUUUUCUCAUCUUGGCGUGGAUUCACUUCAAUGUUAGAGAACAAGCCAUGAAGCCGACUUUGUGGAUGUUUGUAUUGACACUUGAUCAAAUUUUGUUGCCUCCUACUAUUCUAUGACCCACCAUCUCCUGCUGGUAAUUUUAUAAGAUAAAGCCAAGCAGACGUGAUAUAGUACCCAUAUAGAUUCUCAUUUGUCAACUACUAGAAAAGUAAAGCGCGGAUUAAACUUAUAAUCAAAUUAUAAAAUUUUCUUCUCAAAAAUUAGUAUUAAGAAGCUCAACGUAUUCCCUCACUUGCACUUCAAACCUUAAACAAUAAGGAUGAAGAAACUUCUCAGCAUAACUUAACAACACAAGUAAAACUCUUAACAUUAAACAAUUAUUUGAAAGGGAACCAAAAAAAAAAAAGAUUUAGAAUCCACAAAAGAAAGAAAAAAAAAAUGCACGAGGGCUUGAACAAAUCCUUAAAGAGAAAAAUGGCAAAGCCUAAAGUGAGUUACACGAACUUACUUCUCGUUACCUUAAUACCUCUCUCCAAACCGGAAAAACAGAGCACCAGUUCCAUUGUUGUGAUCUACAGCAUACUCAGCUCGUACCAGACCUAACUUCACUCCUACACCGUAUGAUGAACCUUGUCCCAUUCUCCUAUACACUGCUGUUGGGUUCCCUUUCACGUCCUUGGAGCUUCCCAAAUCGUUCCCAUGCUCAGCAAAUGCAUACACAUGCGUGUUCUUCACAGGUACUCUAAUCUCAGCACCAAGCUGCAAUCCAUGAAACAAACAAAAUCAGAGACUUAUGUUUUUGUCGAGUGUUUUAGUUUCGUGGUGUUUGCUGUUUUACCUCGAGGAUGUUUCUGGCCGCACCGAGCUCCCCCAUGUUGUAGCCACGGACAGAAUAAGGACCUCCAAGAACAAAGGCUUCGUAGCCUGGAAGAUCGCCAACACAACCACCAUAGUGUCCAUGAAGGACUAGAACCGGUGGCGGUGGCUUCCCAGCGCCUUCUUCCACCUGCUGAAGCUGAAUGAAUCUUGUCAACGUCAAUUGGUGACGGUUGAAGAAGGGGAAUUUGCUUCCAAUACCCAAUCCUUGAUCUACCUGGAACACGUUCCUCUCUCCAACAACAGCCCCGUUGACAAACUUGGUGUUGUCACGGGUGAUGUUGGCUUGUAGAAAGGCCAUCCGGUCAAUACCGGUACCGCUGAGAGUUGUCGGAGGUCCAUCAGCACUGAUUCCUCCACUAGGUAGUAGUCUCUGACCAUUUGCAGCGAUGUGGCUGCUUUCAUCUCGAGUUGUUAUCUCCUCCAUCACAAGCCCAUAUGUAAACUUGCUCUGACGGGUGAAG
rnacentral:lncRNA from 1 species